ACACAGGUAACUUGAUGGCCUCUAUCCUCCCCAAGCAUGGUAACACAGUAGCUGCCACAACCUCUCCAUAGAGGAGCACAGGUAACUUUGAGUCACUCUGUGAGAGCGAUAAAGACACAGAAGCAACAGAAUUUAAAACUAUUAACUCUCCAUCCACCCAAAAUUGAAAGCUCAAGUGUAUCUUGGAUCUAUUUGACCGCAGAACCAGCAACUUUGCAUCUUUUGCAGAAGAGAUUUUCCCCUGAAAGGAAGAGCAUAGCACGUGGCUCCCAGAGGCAGCUCGAUGUUGCCCCACAGCGCCACCACUCAGCCUUCUGCCUGGGAUCCAUCAGUUCUUUUAAAAGGAGUGCCUUAUGACUAGAGAUCACAGGAUGUACCACCUUUCAACAGAUGGCAUGCCCGUGUCUAAAAAGAACACACCAAUCCUUUACUCCAUCCCAGCCUUUUUUUCCCCCCGCUUCCUGUUUAUGCACAGAAUUAGAGCUGAAAUGAAGUGUAUUUAGCAUUGCAUCCUAUUUGCGUGGAGAAGCUGUUUAGUUUUCACAUACAAACUGAUCUCUCACAGCAGACAAACAUAAUAAAUACCCGAAACAAAUUUAAGAUUUUUUUUUCUGGAAAAGUAAUUAGCAGUGUCAAUUUUCACUCAUGACAAUGAUCCUACAAUGAAAAUGCAUGUUUAGUAAUGCUUCUUAAAAAAAAAAAAAAGAGAGAGAAUGUGAAUACCAAAUCCAAACAAGACUUUGUGCAGAGGCAAUUCUGGCAUUAACACUUGGUAGACCAGCAAUAUGCCAUUUACAGCUACUUGGCUCCAUCUUUUCCCUGAAGUCUUACUGGUGUAAGGCAGCACUUUUGGAAGCAGUCACAAGUAUUCCUCAAAAGCUGCUUUGUGAAAUUUUAUAUAAUGCUGCCAGCUAGUGGCACAUCUUGUACUGAGUUUGUGUGUACUGGGAGUGUGGAGAAGAAAAUGGUGUUAACUAGAAUCUGCUCUACCACUCUUGUCUUGACAGAAUAUGGUGAUGUGGCCAUGAGCAGAAAGAUCGAAGUGAAACAAAAAGACCAAAGAAAUGCUCCCCCAAAAAGUUUUUCUUUUUAAAUACAACAUACUUCAAAAUAUUACAAGAAACACCAAAGAAAACAAACGUUAUUUGAAAUAAGUGAUUGAUUCAAAUGAUGUAAUAUGCAUAAUAUUUUAGUUUUUACAACAUCUUAUCUGCUUAAGAGACAAUUAUUUCAUGUUCUGAUAGUCUGUAGAAAAAUAUUAACCUUCCUGAGUCAGCAUGGUAGUCAAAACAAACCUGCAGAACACUAAAAUAAUUAUUUUCUGAUUAUUUCAGCCCAAGUCAUUUAAGUGAAGUUUAGUGCCCAGUAAAUAAAUUAUGACUAUGCAGCACAUCCGAAAAAGAACAUUAAAAUCUAUAAUUAUUUAUAGAUUUAUUUAUAUCAUCAUGGAGCACAAUACUGUUGAUGGGACUGUUCAGUAAUGGAUAGCUCUAUUAAUAAUGAGUAU
rnacentral:lncRNA from 7 species